UAGGGAAUCUUCGGCAAUGGACGAAAGUCUGACCGAGCAACGCCGCGUGAGUGAAGAAGGUUUUCGGAUCGUAAAACUCUGUUGUUAGAGAAGAACAAGGACGUUAGUAACUGAACGUCCCCUGACGGUAUCUAACCAGAAAGCCACGGCUAACUACGUGCCAGCAGCCGCGGUAAUACGUAGGUGGCAAGCGUUGUCCGGAUUUAUUGGGCGUAAAGCGAGCGCAGGCGGUUUCUUAAGUCUGAUGUGAGAGCCCGCGGCUCAACCGGGGAGGGUCAUUGGAAACUGGGAGACUUGAGUGCAGGAGAGGAGAGUGGAAUUCCAUGUGUAGCGGUGAAAUGCGUAGAUAUAUGGAGGAACACCAGUGGCGAAGGCGGCACUCUGGUCUGUAACUGACGCUGAGGCUCGAAAGCGUGGGGAGCAAACAGG
rnacentral:rRNA from 1 species